rnacentral:rRNA from 1 species
UACGGAGGGCGCUAGCGUUGUUCGGAAUUACUGGGCGUAAAGCGCACGUAGGCGGCUUUUUAAGUCAGGGGUGAAAUCCCGGGGCUCAACCCCGGAACUGCCCUGGAAACUGGAGAGCUAGAAUCUUGGAGAGGCGAGUGGAAUUCCGGGUGUAGUGGUGAAAUGCGUAGAGAUCCGGAGGAACACCAGUGGCGAAGGCGGCUUCCUGGACCAAUACUGACGAUCAGGUGCGAAAGCGUGGGGAGCAAACAGG